rnacentral:lncRNA from 1 species
UAAAAGAACUAACUUAAAAUAUAUGGAUGGCAUAUCAGAACAAGUACUUGCUUGAUGAGAUACAUAAACACAAUAUUCAAAUAACCCGUGAGAGAAUUAUCUAACCAUAAACACAAUAUUCAUCAAAUAAUUAACUAUGCGGCAAUAAUCCUAUUACAUUACUGCCCACCAAACUCAGAGAAGUAGUUUAGUUGCAUUACUUCUUGCCAUGGAUUGAUAGCAGUAAGGACAACUGAUAAUCCAAAAUAAUGAAGUUGGAAAAAACAUAAGUUGGGGCAUACUGAUUUACUGAUCUUAUGGGUGACUGUAUCAGGUCAAAUAAUGGUGGGCAAGCACUGAGACGUCUGUCUUGUCCGUUGGGUGAACAAUUGCAAUGGAGAACUAAUGUGGGAGGUGUCCUAGAGCAGCAUCAACACUGUACUGCAAAUAAAUUAACCCAUCAGAAGUUCUAAAAUGACCCAAAGAAUCAGAGAAUGAGGAAAUGGAGAGGGCUACAUACAUAUGUCAAGUUGAUACCUGAAACCAGUCAUUUGGAUCACAAAUACUACUCAGUCAGCUUGAAC